rnacentral:rRNA from 1 species
UACGAGGGGGGCAAGCGUUGUUCGGAAUUAUUGGGCGUAAAGGGCGCGUAGGCGGUGCGGUAAGUCACCUGUGAAAACUCUGGGCUCAACUCAGAGCCUGCAGGCGAAACUGCCGUGCUUGAGUGUGGGAGAGGUGCGUGGAAUUCCCGGUGUAGCGGUGAAAUGCGUAGAUAUCGAGCGGAACACCAGUGGCGAAGGCGAGUCCCUGGACAACUCCUGACACUGAGGCACGAAAGCUAGGGGAGCAAACAGG